GGCUCUAGUUAGAAUUUAGAAAGGCCCCAAAUCGAUAAUACACCAACACUUUCUUCAUUCAUCCUCUCGUAAAUUCUCCAACAUCAGAGACUUCAAUUCUUCUCUUCGUCAAUUCUUCAAGGAAUCGUUACAUUGAGAAACAAUUCAUCUAUUGAAAAAAUUGUUGAAGUGAAAGACACUUCGUUGUUCUAUUGAGAAAUUCAUUACAUUGAUUGUUGUUCUACUCAUCUUCUUCUCCGCUCAAUUCGGUGUGAAUCGUUCAACCUUGGUGUCUUCCCUACAACAACCUCUUUGUCAAGGGAGGUUGGGAAAAGGAUGAAACAAUUGAAGUUGCUGCAAGGCGCGAGACAAUAGAGGAAGCUGGUGUUUGUGGUGAGAUCAAGGAAAAACUAGGAACAUGGUACUUCGAGAAUAAAAGUGGUGACACUGCUUAUGAAGGGCACCUGUUUCCCUUAUUUGUGAUGAAGGAACUAGAUUUAUGGCCGGAGAAAGACACCCGCGAAAGAUCUAAGACAUCUGCGAAAGAUCUGAUAUGAGCGUGCGAUAAGCAAGAAAGCUCUGCCAACAGGGGUUGAUGAAAGAAGCCUUAGAGUUGUUAUUUAGUUGCCUCAUGUCACAAUGUAGGCGGACUAAAAUGGACCUGUUUUCAAGAAUCACCCAUAACUCAUUGGCCAUGGAACUAUUUUGUAGUUAGGAGGCAGGGCUCAAGUACUCGCUCAACUACCACCACCUACUUCGACAGAAGAGGCCUAGUCUCUAUCAGCCAAGGAUGUUGCUGACAAAGCUGGAAGCAACAACUCCGAUUCAGAUAUAUAGGGAACAAAAUGUUGUGGCUGUUCGUUCAGCGAAGGAAGGCAUAAUCAUACCUUUUGCAAUGCAACCAGUCACCACAACCAUCCCCCACCCUUUGUACUUAGUUAUGUUUUGGAUGAUUGCUCUGGAAAAACUUUUUAUCAUAGCAUUAAUCGAUCAAACUCAGGUCAAAACAUGACCAUGACUGAUAUCUCUUUUUGCCUACAGGGUUGGGAUGUGACCCUGAACAACAACAUGUUGGCUCCUCUACCUGGAAGGAGCACCAAACCCCCCCCCCCCCUCCCCCCCUAAAGUCUAAUAAAAUGGCUAUGUUUUUCACCCAAAAAAAAAA